AACACAGUUACAGAGCCUGCUGUCUAGUAAUGCCCUAUACGGCGAAACCGCGAAUGGCUCAUUAAAUCAGUUAUGGUUCCUUGGAUCGUACCUUACUACUUGGAUAACUGUGGUAAUUCUAGAGCUAAUACAUGCUACAAAGCUCCAACCCUCAGGGACUAUCUCUUUUAUAAAACCAAACCCUGCCCUACCUCGCGCCCUGCUCUUGCGUAGACUCUGUAUAACUUUGGGCUGAUCGCACCGGCCAGUCCCCGUUACAUAUCUUUCCUAUGCCCGCCUUAUCAACUUUCAAUGGGCCUAUACUGCGCCUACCAUGGUCACAACGAAUUACGGUUCAACUCGGUACAAUUACCCAGAGAAACCCUGACACAUCCCUACCACGUCCCAGGAAGGCAAAUUGACCCACUCCUUACCCACUCCACGAACUGACAAUGUAUAGACAAACAAUAACUCUUUUGGGACUCUUUUGAGACCCCGAAACUGUAUUGAUCACACUCUCAAAUCCUUUAUCGAGGAUCCAUUGUAGGGUCAGUCUGGUGCCUACUUCCAGCUCCAAUUCCAGCUCCUAUAGCUUAUAUCAAAUUUGUUGCUCUUAAAUAACUCUUAGUUCUGAUCUCAGUUCCCCACCUCUGCUCCUGCUAUGGGCGGGUACUGCCUGUUCUGAUCAGUAACCCCGUGUCUCUUGAUGAUCUUCACCGGUUGUCUUGACUGACCCUUUAAUUUACUUUGAGAGUACUAGACUGCUCUUUGCUCGCAUGACUUCUGAUGAAUGAUGCAUGAAAGAAUGGAGUAUCACCUCUGUUGCUUUCUGUAGCUCCUCAGACAUUAGGAAAUGAUUACGAGGACUCACUGUUCCAUCCCAGAUGCGAGCUUCUGUGAUAUCUAGACCGCUACUGAGACUUCUGCAAGAAUUUGCCGGA
rnacentral:rRNA from 1 species